ACAAGGCAUACGGCUCAGUAACGCGUAGUCAACCUACCCUAUGGAUGGGAAUAAUCUCGGGAAACUGAGCAUAAUACCCAACAGAUCAUCAAUUCUGGAAUGGUUGAUGAUUCAAAUGAUUUUUCGCCAUAGGAUGGGACUGCGGCCUAUCAGCUUGUUGGUGAGGUAAUGGCCCACCAAGGCGAUUACAGGUACGGGCUCUGAGAGGAGAAGCCCGGAGAUGGGUACUGAGACAAGGACCCAGGCCCUAUGGGGCGCAGCAGGCGAGAAAACUUUGCAAUGUGCGAAAGCACGACAAGGUUAAUCCGAGUGAUUUCUGCUAAAGAAAUCUUUUGCAAGUCAUAAAACCACUAGUGAAUAAGGGGUGGGCAAGUUCUGGUGUCAGCCGCCGCGGUAAAACCAGCACCUCAAGUGGUCAGGAGGAUUAUUGGGCCUAAAGCAUCCGUAGCCGGCUCUGUAAGUUUUCGGUUAAAUCCAUGUGCUCAACGCAUGGGCUGCCGAAAAUACUGCAUAGCUAGGGAGUGGGAGAGGUAGACGGUACUCGGUAGGAAGGGGUAAAAUCCUUUGAUCUAUCGAUGACCACCUGUGGCGAAGGCGGUCUACCAGAACACGUUCGACGGUGAGGGAUGAAAGCUGGGGGAGCAAACCGGAUUAGAUACCCGGGUAGUCCCAGCUGUAAACGAUGCAGACUCGAUGAUGCAUUGGCAUAUAGCCAGUGCAGUGUCGCAGGGAAGCCGUUAAGUCUGCCGCCUGGGAAGUACGUACGCAAGUAUGAAACUUAAAGGAAUUGGCGGGGGAGCACCACAAGGGGUGAAGCCUGCGGUUCAAUUGGAGUCAACGCCAGAAAUCUUACCCGGAGAGACAGCAGAAUGAAGGUCAAGCUGAAGACUUUACCAGACAAGCUGAGAGGUGGUGCAUGGCCGUCGCCAGCUCGUGCCGUGAGAUGUCCUGUUAAGUCAGGUAACGAGCGAGAUCCUCGCCACUAGUUGCUAUCAUUAUUCUCAGGAAUAGUGGGGCGAAUUAGUGGGACUGCCGUUGUUAAAACGGAGGAAGGAGGGGGCUACGGCAGGUCAGUAUGCCCCGAAACUCUGGGGCCACACGCGGGCUGC
rnacentral:rRNA from 1 species